GAUGAACGCUAGCUACAGGCUUAACACAUGCAAGUCGAGGGGCAGCAUGGUCUUAGCUUGCUAAGGCUGAUGGCGACCGGCGCACGGGUGAGUAACACGUAUCCAACCUGCCGUCUACUCUUGGUCAGCCUUCUGAAAGGAAGAUUAAUCCAGGAUGGGAUCAUGAGUUCACAUGUCCGCAUGAUUAAAGGUAUUUUCCGGUAGACGAUGGGGAUGCGUUCCAUUAGAUAGUAGGCGGGGUAACGGCCCACCGAGGCAACGAUGGAUAGGGGUUCUGAGAGGAAGGUCCCCCACAUUGGAACUGAGACACGGUCCAA
rnacentral:rRNA from 1 species